rnacentral:sRNA from 1 species
CUAUGCUGAGCAGCUUGAGCGGAAGCAGCUGGAGUGCGAGCAGGUGCUGCAGAAACUUGCCAAGGAAAUCGGGAGCACCAACCGUGCCUUGCUGCCCUGGCUGCUUGAGCAGAGGCACAAGCACAACAAGGCCUGCUGCCCACUGGAGGGGGUCAGGCCAUCACCCCAGCAGUUGUCAGCUGUUCCUCUUGUUUGACUGCCAGCCCCUGUGGGGAAAUCAGGGUUUCCAGGCACAAGCGCUGGGCAGCCAGGGUAAGGUGCAGCUCUCUCCCUGCAGACUGAGUAUCGUAAUAAAUGUGAGUUUCUGGUUGGCGUCGGGGUGGAUGGGGAGGAUAACACCGUGGGCUGUCGGCUCGGCAAGUACAAGGGCGGGACG